rnacentral:rRNA from 1 species
UGGAUCCAGACUUUGAUUCUGGCUCAGGAUGAACGCUAGCUACAGGCUUAACACAUGCAAGUCGAGGGGAAACGAUAGAGAAAGCUUGCUUUUUCUAGGCGUCGACCGGCGCACGGGUGAGUAACGCGUAUCCAACCUGCCCAUCACUUGGGGAUAACCUUGCGAAAGUAAGACUAAUACCCAAUGACGUCUCUAGAAGACAUCUGAAGGAGAUUAAAGAUUUAUCGGUGAUGGAUGGGGAUGCGUCUGAUUAGCUUGUUGGCGGGGUAACGGCCCACCAAGGCGACGAUCAGUAGGGGUUCUGAGAGGAAGGUCCCCCACAUUGGAACUGAGACACGGUCCAAACUCCUACGGGAGGCAGCAGUGAGGAAUAUUGGUCAAUGGACGAGAGUCUGAACCAGCCAAGUAGCGUGCAGGAUGACGGCCCUAUGGGUUGUAAACUGCUUUUAUAAGGGAAUAAAGUGAGUCUCGUGAGACUUUUUGCAUGUACCUUAUGAAUAA